GAAAACGCCAGCUACCAAGGAAAGGGUGGCUCCACCAAGAUACUGGAGGAGAAAAAAAAAUGCUAGUUGGUUAGGUAGGAGUCGUCUCUCGGAUCAAUCCAUUACUCGUCCUAUUUGAAGACCCCGGGGAAAAGUCGAUACGUUUCUGAAACGGUGGUGUUGAUAGGUGAUGCUGGGAGUAGUAGAAAUGACGGGCAGCAACAUGGCGAACGCCCUGGCGAACGCGUCGUGCGAGCGCUGUAAGAGCGGCUUCGCCCCGGCAGAGAAGAUCGUCAACAGCAACGGGGAGCUGUACCACGAGGGCUGCUUCGUCUGCGCACAGUGCUUCCAGCAGUUCCCAGAGGGGCUCUUCUAUGAGUUUGAAGGCAGGAAAUACUGUGAACAUGACUUUCAGAUGCUCUUCGCUCCCUGCUGCCACCAGUGUGGGGAGUUCAUCAUUGGCCGUGUGAUCAAGGCCAUGAACAACAGCUGGCAUCCUGAUUGUUUCUGCUGUGACAUCUGCCAGGCUGUGCUCGCUGACGUCGGCUUCGUCAAGAACGCUGGCAGGCACCUGUGUCGACCCUGUCAUAACCGUGAGAAGGCUAGAGGUCUGGGGAAGUACAUCUGUCAGAAAUGCCAUGCCAUCAUCGAGGACAGCCCCCUCAUCUUUAAGAACGACCCCUAUCAUCCCGACCACUUCAACUGCAACAACUGUGGUAAGGAGCUGACAGCAGAUGCCAGGGAGCUGAAGGGAGAGCUGUACUGUCUGCCCUGCCAUGAUAAGAUGGGGGUGCCGAUCUGUGGCGCCUGCAGGAGGCCCAUCGAGGGACGCGUGGUCAACGCCAUGGGCAAGCAGUGGCACGUCGAGCACUUUGGGUGUAGUGUAUGUGAGCGAUCGUUCCAGGGCCAUCCCUACUAUGAAUGUAAGGGCUAUGCCUACUGCGAGUGGCACUUUAACAUGCUCUUUGGUGAUGUGUGCUACCACUGCAACAGAGUGAUUGAAGGAGACGUGGUGUCAGCCCUGAACAAAGCAUGGUGUGUGAACUGUUUCUCCUGCGCCACCUGCAACACCAAGCUCACCCUCAAAGACAAGUUUGUAGAGGUAGAUCUGAAGCCUGUAUGUAAGCACUGUUACGAGCGGAUGCCUGAGGAGCUGAAACGCAGACUGGCCCGACGCGAGAGGGACGCCUCAAAAGACCGCAAAAAGAAACCUGUUAUCUGUCUGUAGACUUUUCCAGUCCUCUUCCUUUCAUCUUCACUAUCCUCCUCUCGCUCAUUUCCAUCCAUGGGAACAAGUUUGUGGAGUUUGACAUGAAGCCUGUGUGUAAGAAAUGUUAUGAGAAAUUUCCUCUGGAACUGAAGAAGAGACUGAAGAAACUGGCUGAGACUGUCGGACGCAAGUAGACCUCCGAUUCCCAAGGGGGCGACACUCAACAACAUGUCCAGUAGCUUUCCCAAAGCCCCAGAAACUCUGGAAAAUUCCCUUUCCCGGAUGUCCUGAUUAUUCCCUACUGGGGAUCUUCCAUUUCGGGGGUUUCUAGAAACCUGGGAUUGUAAGAAAGUUACUGGAGGUUCGCAGGUUAGCAACGCUGAACCCUGUAUUAACCUUAACAAGUGCCCAAAUUAGUCAAAGGAAUUGUAUGAACGUGUCAGAUUUAGACUCAAAAUCCCGUCUGUUCCAGUAUUUUAGUAUUUGACGUCUUCAGGUACUCAGUAUAACGUGUUUAAUCUUUUCUCACUUUUUAAUUGAUUAUUUUUUGUGCACGUGGCUUUUGCAUGUGGAGCUGUUUUUCAGAUGUCCAGAGUCUUAAUCAAACAAUAUAGAACCUCAUUCUGCCUGACAAUGACCUAUGAAAGCAUGGAGGGGAAAAAACGAUGGGUGAAAUGCAUUUAGACAUUGUUAAGAAAUAAUACAUAUAACUGAUGUAGUUUGGCCACGAGCGGACCAAAUGAACAGCAGUAUAAAGGGUUAAUGACGUCUAACGAAAUACUUGCACGCUGUCUUAAAGAGAUGAAGGUGCUUGUAGUACUCUUAAAAUAGCUUUUGUCUUGUGCCUUGGGUAUGAAUAUACACUGAGUAUACAACAUAUUUCCAUGGCAUUGACUGAUCAGGUGAAAGCUAUGAUCCCUUAUUGAUGUCUCUUCAAUCAGUAGAUGACAGAUUUAAAGAAGGAUUUUUUUUUUAGCUCGGUACUAGUACUAAUGUUUGGUAAGCUCAGUGUAUAUUUUAUACUGCAUUAUAUACUGUAAGGGUGUCCGAUAAUAUGCAUGUGGUUGUCCGAUAUACUGGCAUGUGAUCCAGACUUACUACAACUGCCUUAAUCAGAGAAUAUUCCUCACUUCUGUGUAAGAAUGAGAAUUCUAGCUGUGUAUCAGAACGUGGAGCCCAUGACUCUGGUAUGUCAUCUAGGACUCUGGUAUGUCAUCUAGGACUCUGGUAUGUCAUCUAGGACUCUGGUAUGUCAUCUAGGACUCUGGUAUGUCAUGUGUGAGUCUGGUAUAUCGUGUAUCCUAACAUUUGCUUGUAAUAAAAUAAAAUGUCAUGGGUUUG